ensembl:snoRNA
AUCCUUUUAUGGUUCAUAUGUGUGAUGGCUGGGUUUUCAUGCCAUUGUGUGAGAUGUGCCACCCUGAUAUCCCAUUAUGAUGUUGGUACAUUACCCAUCUGAUG